rnacentral:rRNA from 1 species
UGGGGAAUCUUGGACAAUGGGGGCAACCCUGAUCCAGCCAUGCCGCGUGAGUGAUGAAGGCCCUAGGGUCGUAAAGCUCUUUCGCCUGUGAAGAUAAUGACGGUAGCAGGUAAAGAAACCCCGGCUAACUCCGUGCCAGCAGCCGCGGUAAUACGGAGGGGGUUAGCGUUGUUCGGAAUUACUGGGCGUAAAGCGCACGUAGGCGGACCAGAAAGUUGGGGGUGAAAUCCCGGGGGCUCAACCCCGGAACUGCCUCCAAAACUAUUGGUCUAGAGUUCGAGAGAGGUGAGUGGAAUUCCAAGUGUAGAGGUGAAAUUCGUAGAUAUUUGGAGGAACACCAGUGGCGAAGGCGGCUCACUGGCUCGAUACUGACGCUGAGGUGCGAAAAGUGUGGGGAGCAAACAGGAUUAGAUACCCUGGUAGUCCACACCGUAAAACGAUGAAUGCCAGUCGUCGGGUAGCAUGCUAUUCGGUGACACACCUAACGGAUUAAGCAUUCCGCCUGGGGAGUACGGUCGCAAGAUUAAAAC